GUCGUGAAGAGGGAAACAACCCAGACCGCCAGCUAAGGUCCCAAAGUCAUGGUUAAGUGGGAAACGAUGUGGGAAGGCCCAGACAGCCAGGAUGUUGGCUUAGAAGCAGCCAUCAUUUAAAGAAAGCGUAAUAGCUCACUGGUCGAGUCGGCCUGCGCGGAAGAUGUAACGGGGCUAAACCAUGCACCGAAGCUGCGGCAGCGACGCUGAUGCGUUGUUGGGUAGGGGAGCGUUCUGUAAGCCUGUGAAGGUGUGCUGUGAGGCAUGCUGGAGGUAUCAGAAGUGCGAAUGCUGACAUAAGUAACGAUAAAGCGGGUGAAAAGCCCGCUCGCCGGAAGACCAAGGGUUCCUGUCCAACGUUAAUCGGGGCAGGGUGAGUCGACCCCUAAGGCGAGGCCGAAAGGCGUAGUCGAUGGGAAACAGGUUAAUAUUCCUGUACUUGGUGUUACUGCGAAGGGGGGACGGAGAAGGCUAUGUUGGCCGGGCGACGGUUGUCCCGGUUUAAGCGUGUAGGCUGGUUUUCCAGGCAAAUCCGGAAAACUAAGGCUGAGGCGUGAUGACGAGGCACUACGGUGCUGAAGCAACAAAUGCCCUGCUUCCAGGAAAAGCCUCUAAGCAUCAGGUAACAUCAAAUCGUACCCCAAACCGACACAGGUGGUCAGGUAGAGAAUACCAAGGCGCUUGAGAGAACUCGGGUGAAGGAACUAGGCAAAAUGGUGCCGUAACUUCGGGAGAAGGCACGCUGAUAUGUAGGUGAAGUCCCUCGCGGAUGGAGCUGAAAUCAGUCGAAGAUACCAGCUGGCUGCAACUGUUUAUUAAAAACACAGCACUGUGCAAACACGAAAGUGGACGUAUACGGUGUGACGCCUGCCCGGUGCCGGAAGGUUAAUUGAUGGGGUCAGCGCAAGCGAAGCUCUUGAUCGAAGCCCCGGUAAACGGCGGCCGUAACUAUAACGGUCCUAAGGUAGCGAAAUUCCUUGUCGGGUAAGUUCCGACCUGCACGAAUGGCGUAAUGAUGGCCAGGCUGUCUCCACCCGAGACUCAGUGAAAUUGAACUCGCUGUGAAGAUGCAGUGUACCCGCGGCAAGACGGAAAGACCCCGUGAACCUUUACUAUAGCUUGACACUGAACAUUGAGCCUUGAUGUGUAGGAUAGGUGGGAGGCUUUGAAGUGUGGACGCCAGUCUGCAUGGAGCCGACCUUGAAAUACCACCCUUUAAUGUUUGAUGUUCUAACGUUGACCCGUAAUCCGGGUUGCGGACAGUGUCUGGUGGGUAGUUUGACUGGGGCGGUCUCCUCCUAAAGAGUAACGGAGGAGCACGAAGGUUGGCUAAUCCUGGUCGGACAUCAGGAGGUUAGUGCAAUGGCAUAAGCCAGCUUGACUGCGAGCGUGACGGCGCGAGCAGGUGCGAAAGCAGGUCAUAGUGAUCCGGUGGUUCUGAAUGGAAGGGCCAUCGCUCAACGGAUAAAAGGUACUCCGGGGAUAACAGGCUGAUACCGCCCAAGAGUUCAUAUCGACGGCGGUGUUUGGCACCUCGAUGUCGGCUCAUCACAUCCUGGGGCUGAAGUAGGUCCCAAGGGUAUGGCUGUUCGCCAUUUAAAGUGGUACGCGAGCUGGGUUUAGAACGUCGUGAGACAGUUCGGUCCCUAUCUGCCGUGGGCGCUGGAGAACUGAGGGGGGCUGCUCCUAGUACGAGAGGACCGGAGUGGACGCAUCACUGGUGUUCGGGUUGUCAUGCCAAUGGCACUGCCCGGUAGCUAAAUGCGGAAGAGAUAAGUGCUGAAAGCAUCUAAGCACGAAACUUGCCCCGAGAUGAGUUCUCCCUGACUCCUUGAGAGUCCUGAAGGAACGUUGAAG
rnacentral:rRNA from 1 species